CCCUUAGAUGUCCGGGGCUGCACGCGCGCUACACUGAAGGAAUCAGCGUGCUAAAACCAUUGUCGAAAGGCAUUGGUAAACCCAUUAAAAUCCUACGUGAUUGGGAUCGGGAAUUGCAAUUAUUUCCCUUGAACGGGGAAUUCCCAGUAAGUGUGGGUCAUAAGCUCGCGUUGAUUACGUCCCUGCCCUUUGUACACACCGCCCGUCGCUGCCCGGGACUGAGCCGUUUCGAGAAAAGCGGGGACUGCUGCUGUCGGGGCUUUCGGGCCUUGGCUUCGGUGGAAACCGCUUUAAUCGCAGUGGCUUGAACCGGGCAAAANUCGUANCA
rnacentral:rRNA from 1 species